rnacentral:rRNA from 1 species
GAUGAACGCUGGCGGCGUGCCUAAUACAUGCAAGUCGAGCGAACAGAUAAGGAGCUUGCUCCUUUGACGUUAGCGGCGGACGGGUGAGUUACACGUGGAUAACCUACCUAUAAGACUGGGAUAACUUCGGGAAACCGGAGCUAAUACCGGAUAACAUAUUGAACCGCAUGGUUCAAUAGUGAAAGGCGGCUUUGCUGUCACUUAUAGAUGGAUCCGCGCCGUAUUAGCUAGUUGGUAAGGUAACGGCUUACCAAGGCAACGAUACGUAGCCGACCUGAGAGGGUGAUCGGCCACACUGGAACUGAGACACGGUCCAGACUCCUACGGGAGGCAGCAGUAGGGAAUCUUCCGCAAUGGGCGAAAGCCUGACGGAGCAACGCCGCGUGAGUGAUGAAGGUCUUCGGAUCGUAAAACUCUGUUAUCAGGGAAGAACAAAUGUGUAAGUAACUGUGCACAUCUUGACGGUACCUAAUCAGAAAGCCACGGCUAACUACGUG